rnacentral:rRNA from 1 species
AAACCUGCCCUUGGGAGGGGAACAACAGCUGGAAACGGCUGCUAAUACCCCAUAGGCUGAGGAGCAAAAGGAGGAAUCCGCCCAAGGAGGGGCUCGCGUCUGAUUAGUUAGUUGGUGAGGCAAUGGCUUACCAAGGCGACGAUCAGUAGCUGGUCCGAGAGGAUGAUCAGCCACACUGGGACUGAGACACGGCCCAGACUCCUACGGGAGGCAGAGUGGGGAAUUUUCCGCAAUGGGCGAAAGCCUGACGGAGCAAUGCUGCGUGAAGCCA